rnacentral:rRNA from 1 species
CGGUACCUACGGGAGGCAGCAGUGAGGAAUAUUGGUCAAUGGACGCAAGUCUGAACCAGCCAUGCCGCGUGCAAGAAGACGGCUCUAUGAGUUGUAAACUGCUUUUGUACGAGGGUAAACGCAGAUACGUGUAUCUGUCUGAAAGUAUCGUACGAAUAAGGAUCGGAUAACUCCGUGCCAGCAGCCGCGGUAAUAUGGAGGAUUCCAGCGUUCUCCGGAUUUAUUGGUUUUAAAGGGUGCGUAGGCGGUCGGAUAA